CCUACGGGUGGCAGCAGUGAGGAAUAUUGGUCAAUGGACGAGAGUCUGAACCAGCCACGUAGCGUGAAGGAUGACUGCCCUAUGGGUUGUAAACUUCUUUUCUCUGGGAAUAAAAUGUUCCACGUGUGGGAUUUUGUAUGUACCAUAUGACUAAGGAUCGGCUAACUCCGUGCCAGCAGCCGCGGUAAUACGGAGGAUCCGAGAGUUAUCCGGAUUUAUUGGGUUUAAAGGGAGCGUAGGUGGAUUGUUAAGUACAUUGUGAAAGUUUGCGGCUCAACCGUAAAAUUGCAAUUGAUACUGGCAGUCUUGAGUACAGUUGAGGUAGGCGGAAUUCGUGGUGUAGCGGUGAAAUGCUUAGAUAUCACGAAGAACCCCGAGUGCGAAGGCAGCUUACUAAACUGUGACUGACAUUGAUGCUCGAAAGUGUGGGUAUCAAACAGGAUUAGAUACCCGGGUAGUC
rnacentral:rRNA from 1 species